rnacentral:rRNA from 1 species
UAGUCCACGCCGUAAACGAUGUUAACUCGCUGUUGGCGAUAUACUGUCAGCGGCCAAGCGAAAGCGUUAAGUUAACCACCUGGGGAGUACGCCCGCAAGGGUGAAACUCAAAGGAAUUGACGGGGGCCCGCACAAGCGGAGGAGCAUGUGGUUUAAUUCGAUGAUACGCGAGGAACCUUACCUGGACUUAAAUGUAGAUUGCAUAGAGUGGAGACAUUCUUUUCUUCGGACUAUUUACAAGGUGCUGCAUGGUUGUCGUCAGCUCGUGCCGUGAGGUGUCGGGUUAAGUCCCAUAACGAGCGCAACCCUUAUCCUUAGUUGCCAGCGGGUCAUGCCGGGGACUCUGAGGAGACUGCCACCGUAAGGUGUGAGGAAGGUGGGGAUGACGUCAAAUCAGCACGGCCCUUAUGUCCAGGGCUACACACGUGUUACAAUGGACGGUACAAAGGGCAGCUACCUGGUGACAGGAUGCUAAUCUCUAAAGCCGUUCUCAGUUCGGA